GCCCAAGAGAUCGGGAUAACACCUGGAAACAGAUGCUAAUACCGGAUAACAACAGAUGCUGCCUAUCAACUGUUUAAAAGAUGGUUCUGCUAUCACUCUUGGAUGGACCUGCGGUGCAUUAGCUAGUUGGUAGGGUAACGGCCUACCAAGGCGAUGAUGCAUAGCCGAGUUGAGAGACUGAUCGGCCACAUUGGGACUGAGACACGGCCAAACUCCUACGGGAGGCAGCAGCG
rnacentral:rRNA from 1 species